CAUUUAGAGGAAGUAAAAGUCGUAACAAGGUUUCCGUAGGUGAACCUGCGGAAGGAUCAUUAUCGUAUCAACGCAGGCACCCGGGGGGGCUGUCGGCUGACCCUUUUGAAAAGGUCGUGCACGCCUCCGGUGUGUCGUCCUCAUACAAUCCACCUCACCUUUUGUGCAUCGCCGCGUGGGUCCCUUUUUCUUCAAUUGAAGAGAGGGGCUCGCGUCUUUCCACACGGACACACCCUUCUCAUGCAGUAUGGAUGUCUUACAUUUCCUUUGCGAUGUAUGCACGCGAUCAAUACAACUUUCAACAACGGAUCUCUUGGCUCUCGCAUCGAUGAAGAACGCAGCGAAAUGCGAUACGUAAUGUGAAUUGCAGAAUUCAGUGAAUCAUCGAAUCUUUGAACGCACCUUGCGCCCCUUGGCAUUCCGAGGGGCACACCCGUUUGAGUGUCGUGAAAUCCUCAACCUUUUCCCCUUUUYCUUGUCGAAACGGGGGGGAAAGGCUUGGAUCAUGGAGGCUUUUUGCUGGCCUCUUUCAUUUGAAGCCGGCUCCUCUUAAAGGAAUUAGCGGGGUCCCCCCUUUGCCGAUCCUCGACGUGGAUAAGCUUUUGUUUUGACGUCGUCUAUGGAGAGGCAAGUGACCUGGCUUUUAAGACACAUGGUGGGUUUCGCGGUCGUCCCUCCGCGGUGCGACUUUUGACCACGAAAGAACCCUUUUGACCUCAAAUCGGGUGAGACUACCCGCUGAACUUAAGCAUAUCAAUAAGCGGAGGAAAAGAA
rnacentral:sRNA from 1 species